AUUAGGUACAAAUAAGAAGGUGUAAUCCUUGUUUGAAAUAAAUGUUCACAAGUAUUUAGACUAAUUUUUUGAGAAAAGUGUAUGUUUCCAAGCGGAACGAUGCUAUUCUACUAUCGUCAUGGAACAGGCGAGGUCAGAAUACACCAGGGGGUGGCUUAUAUCUCGUACGUGCCCGGAAAGCUAAGAGUUUUUGAUUGAUAAACAAACGCAACACGUGGUUUUGCAUUUAUAUCGUUUAGUUUCAACUUUAUGAACUAGUUGUGCUUCUUUUCAAUAAAGUUGAUUCAACACAUU